rnacentral:lncRNA from 1 species
CAUAGUAACUCAAACUAAUGUCGAAAUUUGUUGGAUUUUAUUUGAGACAGUCACUAGAUGUCACCACUCUUUCUAUCUCAAUUGAAUAGAAAUCUACUAAUAUUUUUUUAGCUACGCUAUAAUAGAUGGUGCCGCGAUAGCUAAAGUCAGCGUCCAUUUUGUUCCCCUAAAUUCAAUCUACCAGUGUUGCAAUAUCUCAUAGACAGUGAUAUAGUGGCAAUAAGUGUAUUUACACCUACAGUUUAGUGUUUCCGUGAAGAAUAUUAAUAUUUUUACCGUAUAGGAAAUCUAUAAAAUAUUCGAGGGAAUGCCGCAUUGGGAAUUCUCGAGUUUAGCGAGCGGAUUUAAAA